rnacentral:rRNA from 1 species
AUUGAACGCUGGCGGCAGGCCUAACACAUGCAAGUCGAGCGGGGUUUUCGGACCUAGCGGCGGACGGGUGAGUAAUGCGUAGGAAGCUGCCCGAUAGAGGGGGAUACCAGUUGGAAACGACUGUUAAUACCGCAUAAUGUCUACGGACCAAAGUGUGGGACCUUCGGGCCACAUGCUAUCGGAUGCGCCUACGUGGGAUUAGCUAGUUGGUGAGGUAAUGGCUCACCAAGGCGACGAUCUCUAGCUGGUUUGAGAGGAUGAUCAGCCACACUGGAACUGAGACACGGUCCAGACUCCUACGGGAGGCAGCAGUGGGGAAUAUUGGACAAUGGGCGCAAGCCUGAUCCAGCCAUGCCGCGUGUGUGAAGAAGGCCUUCGGGUUGUGAAGCACUUUCAGCGAGGAGGAAGGGUUGUGUGUUAAUAGUACACAGCUUUGACGUUACUCGCAGAAGAAGCACCGGCUAACUCUGUGCCAGCCGCCGCAGUAACAC